AGCACGGAGCGAACCGCACAGGCUAGCCCACACGGAGCGAACCACACGGGAAAAGUUGAUGGGAAGAAACAAAAAAGUCAAGAAAAGGCAGUUCCUGCAGCUUCAAAAUCAAGUCCGGCUUCCAAGAAGAGCAAGGAUGACGAUGAUUCUGAUGAGGACGAGACUGAUGAUUCUAACGAGGACGAGACAGACGAUUCUGAUGAGGGUGAGGGUUUGUCUCCUGAAGAAGGCGAUGAUGAUGAUUCAAGUGAUGAAGAUGAUACCAGUGACGAUGAGGAGGAAGACACUUCAACUCCUAAGAAGCAUGAGGCAGGCAAGAAGAGAGCUGCUGAAAGUUCCGUGCUGAAAACUCCUCUAUCUGAUAAGAAAGCAAAAGUUGCCACACCGUCAGCUCAAAAGACAGGUGUGCCAUUGAACGGACUAACAAAACUGUCGUCGAAGAUUGUAUAGGUGUGACUCUGUUCAAGGAUAGUCUUGAGGUUCUAGAACAGAAGAGUAGUGGUGUGCAUCAGUGUAUCUGUUUACCGGAUAAUAGUGGUUGGUUAGGUGUGUGCAGAAAAAGUUUAGUGUUAUGGUUUGUAUGUGAUACAUAUUAACUGUGCCUUGGAAUGUUCAUGUGUUGUCCUGA